CAGGGUGGACCAUGGUGGAGAGCACAGGCUGAAACCCAGGCUGGGGAAGUGUGUCGGUCUGCAGGGCCAGGCUUCAUGGUGUGACCCCCGAGCAGAGCUGGACACAGACUCAUUACUGACUGAGAUUACACCUGAAGUCCAGGAGGAAGGCAACAUAUACCGGCUGCGGUGUCCACACGCCGGAGCAUUUCGCUGCAGUCUCACCGGUUUGGUGUUGGAGGGCGAGGGUGAUGUCACCUACCAGAUAGUUCCCUGGGAAAGGAACAUCCUCACCACAAAAGGCUGGCGGCCGGCAGGACCUCUGGUCAAGUUCACCUGCCUGAGAGGAAGUUUCCACCGGCUCCAACUGCCGCACUGCCAGAUCU